GAAAGUAAAAAAGGGCGCAUGGCGGAUGCCUUGGCUCUCGGAGGCGAUGAAGGACGUGAUAAGCUGCGAUAAGCUUUGGGGAGGUGCAAAUGACCUUUGAUCCAGAGAUUUCCGAAUGGGACAACCCAAUAUCUUGAAGAGGUAUUAUCCAACGUUGUUGGAGGCUAACGCAGGGAACUGAAACAUCUUAGUACCUGCAGGAAAAGAAAAUAAACAAUGAUUCCCUCAGUAGUGGCGAGCGAACGGGGAACAGCCCAAACCAUCCAUGUUACGGCAUGGGUGGGGUUGUAGGACUACGCCGUUGCAUGAAGACAUCAGAGAAGAACUUUCUGGAAAGAAAGACCAUAGAGCAUGACAGUUGCGUAUUCGAAUGUUGUCGAAGCAUAGUAGUAUCCUGAGUAGCGCGGAGCACGAGGAAUUCUGCGUGAAUCUGCCGGGACCAUCCGGUAAGGCUAAAUACUCCCGAGAGACCGAUAGUGAACCAGUACCGUGAGGGAAAGGUGAAAAGCACUUCGAACAGAAGAGUGAAAUAGUUCCUGAAACCGUGCGCCUACAAGCGGUCGGAGCUCGUUAAUGAGUGACGGCGUGCCUUUUGCAUAAUGAACCUACGAGUUGCCUUUGCCGGCAAGGUUAAGUGUGACGACACACGUAUCCGAAGCGAAAGCGAGUCUGAACAGGGCGUAUAGUCGGCAGUGGCAGACGCGAAACCAAGUGAUCUACCCUUGGCCAGGUUGAAGGCUGGGUAACACCAGCUGGAGGACCGCACCAAUAAGCGUUGAAAAGCUUCUGGAUGAGCUGAGGGUAGGGGUGAAAGGCUAAUCAAACUUGGAGAUAGCUCGUACUCCCCGAAAUGCAUUUAGGUGCAGCCUUGCGGGUUACUGAUGUGAGGUAGAGCGACUGAUAAGAUGCGAGGGCUUCACCGCCUAUCAAGUCUUGACAAACUCCGAAUGCGCAUCAGUUCUACCGCAGGAGUGAGGGCAUGGGUGCUAAGGUCCGUGCCCGAGAGGAGAAGAAUCCGGACCACCUGCUAAGGUCCCGAAAUGACAGCUAAGUUAAACUAACGAAGUCUGACUGCUAAGACAGCUAGGAUGUUGGCUUGGAAGCAGCCAUUCAUUUAAAGAGUGCGUAACAGCUCACUAGUCGAGGAGUCGGGCGUGGAUAAUAAUCGGGUAUGAAGUUGUCUACCGAAGCAGUGGGAUCAUUUAUAUGAUCGGUAGGGGAGCAUUCCAGUCGGCGUCGAAGGCGUACCGUGAGGUAUUCUGGAGCGUCUGGAAAAGCAAAUGUAGGUAUAAGUAACGAUAAAGGGGGCGGGAAACCCCCUCGCCGAAAGACUAAGGUUUCCUGAUCAACGCUAAUCGGAUCAGGGUCAGUCGGGUCCUAAGGCUCAGCCGAACGGCGAGGCCGAUGGCAGAAACGGUUAAUAUUCCGUUACUACCUUUGAGGGUGACGUGGGGAAGCAGUAGUGACACUGCCGCGGGCUGACGGAAUAGCCCGUUAAAGAGUGUAGGCGUUGAUUUCCGCAGGCAAAUCCACGGAAAGAGCCGAACUUGACAGUAUGGAGCGUCCUUCGGGACAAUCCAACAGCGCAGGUAAUCAGACUGCCGAGAAAAUCCGCUAAACAUAACUUCAGAGGUACCCGUACCGCAAACGGACACACGUAGUCGGGUUGAAUAUACUAAGGCGCUUGAGUGAUUCACGGUUAAGGAACUAGGCAAAUUGACCCUGUAACUUCGGGAUAAAGGGUCCUCGUCGUAAGGCGAGGCGCAGAGAAUAGGUCCAGGCAACUGUUUAACAAAAACACAUGGCUGUGCUAAAUGGAAACAUGAUGUAUACAGCCUGACACCUGCCCGGUGCCGGAAGGUUAAGAGGAGAUGUCAUCCGCGAGGAGAAGCGUUGAAUUGAAGCCCCGGUAAACGGCGGCCGUAACUAUAACGGUCCUAAGGUAGCGAAAUUCCUUGUCGGGU
rnacentral:rRNA from 1 species